AGGAUGAACGCUGGCGGCGUGCCUAAUACAUGCAAGUCGAACGGAGCCUUCGGGCUUAGUGGCGAACGGGUGAGUAACACGUUGGUACCUACCCUCUAGUGGGGAAUAACUGCCCGAAAGGGUGGCUAAUACCGCAUGACACCUGUGGGUCAAAGGCGCGAGUCGCCUGGGGAGGAGCCUGCGUACGAUUAGCUAGUUGGUGGGGUAAAGGCCUACCAAGGCUACGAUCGUUAGCUGGUCUGAGAGGAUGAUCAGCCACACUGGGACUGAGACACGGCCCAGACUCCUACGGGAGGCAGCAGUGGGGAAUAUUGGACAAUGGGCGAAAGCCUGAUCCAGCAAUGCCGCGUGUGUGAAGAAGGUCUUCGGAUUGUAAAGCACUUUCGGCGGGACGAUGAUGACGGUACCCGCAGAAGAAGCCCCGGCUAACUUCGUGCCAGCAGCCGC
rnacentral:rRNA from 1 species